CUUGGUCAUUUAGAGGAAGUAAAAGUCGUAACAAGGUUUCCGUAGGUGAACCUGCGGAAGGAUCAUUAAAAGUAAUAUAUAUUCAUUUGAAUAUACGUUUCAAACCCCUUGUCUAAACUACCUGUUGCUUCCGACCGUUUUGGCUGUACAGUUAGCUGUAUAGCCUGGUCGGAAGGUUAACAUAAAAUAUUGUAUUUAGAGUCUUCUGAAUUUUAAAAUAAAAGUUAAAACUUUCAACAACGGAUCUCUUGGUUCUCGCAUCGAUGAAGAACGCAGCGAAAUGCGAUAAGUAGUGUGAAUUGCAGAAUUCAGUGAAUCAUCGAAUCUUUGAACGCACAUUGCGCCUUCCGGUAUUCCGGAAGGCAUGCCUGUCCGAGCGUCAUUAAAAACCACUCAAGUAGUUUUGCUUGGUUAUGAAAGAAGAGUUUGCUUGCAAAUUCCCUUUCGAAAUUCAAUGGCGGAGAGUYUCAUGAUUCCAGCGUAGUAAUAACUUAUUCGCUUGGUCAUUGUAACAAUCCUGCCUUAAACCCCCAAUUCUAAUGUUUGACCUCGGAUCAGGUAGGGAUACCCGCUGAACUUAAGCAUAUCAAUA
rnacentral:rRNA from 1 species